rnacentral:rRNA from 1 species
GGGACUGCGGCAGCUUACCAUGCAGUCGAGGGGUAUAUGUCUUCGGACAUAGAGACCGGCGCACGGGUGCGUAACGCGUAUGCAACCUACCUUUCACAGGGGGAUAGCCCAGAGAAAUUUGGAUUAAUACCCCAUGGUAUAUUGAUGUGGCAUCACAUUAUUAUUAAAGUUCCAACGGUGAAAGAUGGGCAUGCGUCCCAUUAGCUAGUUGGUGUGGUAACGGCACACCAAGGCAACGAUGGGUAGGGGUCCUGAGAGGGAGAUCCCCCACACUGGUACUGAGACACGGACCAGACUCCUACGGGAGGCAGCAGUGAGGAAUAUUGGUCAAUGGGCGCAAGCCUGAACCAGCCAUGCCGCGUGCAGGAUGAAGCAUCUAUGGUGUGUAAACUGCUUUUGUACGGGAAGAAACCCUGCCACGUGUGGCAGAUUGACGGUACCGUAAGAAUAAGGAUCGGCUAACUCCGUGCCAGCAGCCGCGGUAAUACGGAGGAUCCAAGCGUUAUCCGGAAUCAUUGGGUUUAAAGGGUCCGUAGGCGGUCUUAUAAGUCAGUGGUGAAAUCUCCCCGCUCAACGGGGAAACGGCCAUUGAUACUGUAAGACUUGAAUUAUUGUGAAGUAACUAGAAUAUGUAGUGUAGCGGUGAAAUG